rnacentral:lncRNA from 1 species
GAUAAAGACGUACCCAGGACUGGGCAAUUUACAAAUGAAAGAGGUUUAAUUGGACUUACAGUUCCACGUGGCUGGGGAAGCCUCACAACCAUGGGAGAAGACAAGGAGGAGCAAAUCGUAUCUUACAUGGAUGGCAGUAGGCGAAGAGUGAGAUUGGGCAGGAAAACUUCCGUUUUUACAACCAUCAGAUCUUGUGAGUCUCAUUCAGUAUCAUAAGAGCAGUGCAGGAAAGACCUGCCCUCGUAAUUCAAUCAUUUCCCACUGGGUUCCUCCCAUAGUAUGUGGUAAUUGUAGGAGCUACAAUUCAAGGUGAUAUAUGGGUGGGGACACGGCCAAACCAUAUCAUCUAGGCAAUUGUCUCAAUCAAGAUUGAACUUGGUCUCAAGUGUCCUGAAUCCAGUGAUUAUCUAAUCUGUGAUACAAAGACUAACUACCUUGCCUCCAUUUUGAGAAACCCGGAAGUGCUGCUAUUUUAGUUCCAGAGCUUCUCACAGGAAGGCUUAAGAUCUAAGAAGUUGAGCCACCUCAGCCUGGUUCAGAAGCCUUGCUGGAAAGAUGAUUGCUGGAGAGGUGAUGCAAUCAUUUGGAAAAUAGAAGGACAAGAAAGAAUGAAAAGAAAAUUGAAGCAACUGUCAAAAUGUCUAUGGAGGAAAAGAGGAUUUGGUGACCCAAAUUAUCAAGCUUGUCAUGAACAUUAAUUUAAUAAGUCUGUAAUCACACAAUGAUAUUCAAAUGGAAAAUUGAGGAAUUAUUUAAUCAAUUUUAUCAAUCUGGAUAAUCCAAGCUCAAAUCCUUUUUGAUCCUCAAUAGCCUGGGAAGAUUUUAGGCAUUUGUAUUUUUCAUAUAAUUGCCCUAAUUCUCUCUUUAACUUUUUCUUCAUAUUCAAAGCUAAACUCAUCCUGCAUUUAAAUUUGCUCUUUCUAUGUAUGGAACAAAGUGUUCUGACAUGGAAUAAGUAGUAAAGUUAAUACUCAUAAAGCAUUAAUGAAAAUAAAUUAUAGGAACACAAAGGGAUUUACACAUAUAUUUCUUUUGCAAUUAUGGUGAGAUAAAUAUUUUUUCUUUUUGAAAAAAUAUAUGUAUUCUCCCAUAAAACUUACCUUAUUCAGCACUUACUUUAGUAGACAAUCAGUAACUACAUUUUCUCACACAAAUUUGAUAAAUGUAGUGUGUGUGUAUGUGUGUGUGAGUGUGUUUAACUGGGAAAGUUAGUACAUCACAAUAACAAUAACAAUAAAACACUGUGUGAAGGUAUACAUAUUUAUGGUACAUUUCAAAAAACCAUUUUGUUCCUUCCUUUGAGGAAACAGAAAAUUCUAAGAAAAUCAGUUAAAUAUAGUAUACUUGCUACGCUAAUUGUCUUACAUAAAAAGAGAUGUAUUAAGAUGUUAUACAUGUGGUAUGCCAUCUGUUUCUGUUUUUGUUGUAUUCAUCACAUGCAUCUGUCCUAAUUCAGCUAUAAGGAAAUACUUAAAUAUAAUUUACACAUCAAAGCUAUUGCAAAAAAUCAAUUUUAUGCAUGUGAAACCCUCCUUUUUCUGAAAUGUGUCCUAAGUUCAAAGAUCAACACAGUUUCAAAUUAAGCCUCGCUCUUCAAAAUGAAAUUUUUCAAAAAUUUGGCUGGAUAAUAGGGAUCUGAAUCACUCAAAUGUGUAAAAGUUGUUUCAAAAGUUAUAGAGGCCAUCAUUUGUAUGGUUCAUCUAUUUCAGAGAACUAUGAAAACUGAUCUUAGAAAGUUGAACUAAAAAAUUUUGUUGUAUUUCACUAUGUUCAUGUCAUCUAAACUAUAAAUGUUUUAAAAUAAAAUAUAUACAGCUAUAGAAAAAGAUUAUUUUAUAACAUAUGCUUAGUGAUGA